UCGCCCUUCGUAACUCAUCAUCCUUGGGCACACACCAUCGAUUUCGAAAUCGAAGUGCGCCAUCAACUCCAAUGCCAAAGUCUUCGGCCUUACCGUUCUCAACAUCACCUCGAACCUUUUGGAGAUAAGGAUCCGAAGCUUGUAACUCUUUAAUUCUCUCGAAGAGGGUCGGUUGCACAACUAAUGCGGCAAGUGUAGCCGGCACUCCCGGCGCUACCACUACCAACCCGAAUCGCUGCAUUUCUUUUUGCAAUAGCGGUUGAGGCGUAAUCGCCGUCGCUAAGUUCUCUGCCAAUUUUCUACUUAGAGCAUCGGCCACGACAUUGG
rnacentral:lncRNA from 1 species